UGGGGAAUUUUGGACAAUGGGCGAAAGCCUGAUCCAGCCAUGCCGCGUGCGGGAAGAAGGCCUUCGGGUUGUAAACCGCUUUUGUCAGGGAAGAAACGAGUUUCUCUAAUACAGAGACUUAAUGACGGUACCUGAAGAAUAAGCACCGGCUAACUACGUGCCAGCAGCCGCGGUAAUACGUAGGGUGCCAGCGUUAAUCGGAAUUACUGGGCGUAAAGCGUGCGCAGGCGGUUAUGCAAGACAGAUGUGAAAUCCCCGGGCCCAACCUGGGAACUGCAUUUGUGACUGCAUAGCUGGAGUGCGGCAGAGGGGGAUGGAAUUCCGCGUGUAGCAGUGAAAUGCGUAGAUAUGCGGAGGAACACCGAUGGCGAAGGCAAUCCCCUGGGCCUGCACUGACGCUCAUGCACGAAAGCGUGGGGAGCAAACA
rnacentral:rRNA from 1 species